rnacentral:rRNA from 1 species
AGCAUGUGGUUUAAUUCGAUGCAACGCGAAGAACCUUACCAGGUCUUGACAUCCAACGAAUCCUUCUGAAAGGAGGGAGUGCCUUCGGGAGCGUUGAGACAGGUGGUGCAUGGUUGUCGUCAGCUCGUGUCGUGAGAUGUUGGGUUAAGUCCCGCAACGAGCGCAACCCUUGCUAUUAGUUGCUAACAGGUUAAGCUGAGCACUCUAAUGGGACUGCCGGUGACAAGCCGGAGGAAGGUGGGGAUGACGUCAAAUCAUCAUGCCCUUUAUGACCUGGGCUACACACGUGCUACAAUGGAUGGUACAGAGAGCAGCGAGGCAGCGAUGUGGAGCGAAUCUCAAAAAGCCAUUCUCAGUUCGGAUUGGAGUCUGCAACUCGACUCCAUGAAGUCGGAAUCGCUAGUAAUCGCGAAUCAGCAUGUCGCGGUGAAUGCGUUCCCGGGCCUU